GUGAGGAAUAUUGGACAAUGGGUGGAAGCCUGAUCCAGCCAUCCCGCGUGCAGGAAGACGGCCCUAUGGGUUGUAAACUGCUUUUAUCUGGGGAUAAACCUACUUACGUGUAAGUAGCUGAAGGUACCAGAAGAAUAAGCACCGGCUAACUCCGUGCCAGCAGCCGCGGUAAUACGGAGGGUGCAAGCGUUAUCCGGAUUUAUUGGGUUUAAAGGGUCCGUAGGCGGACUGAUAAGUCAGUGGUGAAAUCCGACAGCUUAACUGUCGAACUGCCAUUGAUACUGUUAGUCUUGAGUAAGGUUGAAGUGGCUGGAAUAAGUAGUGUAGCGGUGAAAUGCAUAGAUAUUACUUAGAACACCAAUUGCGAAGGCAGGUCACUAAGUCUUAACUGACGCUGAUGGACGAAAGCGUGGGGAGCGA
rnacentral:rRNA from 1 species